AUUGAACGCUGGCGGCAUGCCUUACACAUGCAAGUCGAACGGCAGCACGGGAGCAAUCCUGGUGGCGAGUGGCGAACGGGUGAGUAAUAUAUCGGAACGUGCCCAGUCGGUGGGGAUAACGUAGACGAAAGCUACGCUAAUACCGCAUACUAUCUAUGGAUAGAAAGGCGGGGGAUCGCAAGACCUCGCGCGUAUUGGAGCGGCCGAUAUCAGAUUAGGUAGUUGGUGAGGUAAAGGCUCACCAAGCCGACGAUCUGUAGCUGGUCUGAGAGGACGACCAGCCACACUGGGACUGAGACACGGCCCAGACUCCUACGGGAGGCAGCAG
rnacentral:rRNA from 1 species